AAGUCGUAACAAGGUUUCCGUAGGUGAACCUGCGGAAGGAUCAUUAACACAAAAAAAUCAAUUAAUUUUUUAAUUGAAAAAUCCCACAAUUUUGGAUGAAUUUAUAAUUUUUUUAUUUUUUACACUAAAAACAUUUUUUACUUUUAUAUUGACUAAAAUUUAUUAUAUAAAUUUAAAAAAACAACUCUUAACAACGGAUAUCUUGGCUCUC
rnacentral:misc_RNA from 1 species